UCCCAAACGCUGACGUACUAUUUGUCAAAAAAAAAAUUAAAAAUAUUAGGAAUGCAUUUCGCAAAGAGUAUAAGAAAAAGCAAAUGAAGAUUCGAGAAGGCAUAAUUUAUGAACCAAAACUUUGGUAUUUCGAUUUAUUGAUGUUCACAGUGAUAGAAAAUAACAAGCCGGCAACAACUGAGGAUGAACAGGAUGACGAGAAUAAGUUGGAGAUCGAAAACUAUUGAAUCCAAACCAAUAUUCUAUCAGUAUACUAUAUUAUACUAACAUUAUACUUAUUAUUAAUAUGUACAUCCAUUGACCAUGGUUUAGGAAAAUGUAUUUUAUCAUAUUAAAUAUAAUAUACAUAAUAUUACU